CUAAGGCAGCAGAAAAGUUGUGUGUGCAUGUGUAUUUAUUUUUUCUAACUAACAUUUUUUAAUUAUUUUUUAUUUCCGACUGACUCAGUUUUAUUUUAAUCGAGAGCCCUUAGGACUAGCUGUAAUGAUAUGAAUGGUUAAAGUGGGAAGAGCUCAAGGCUCGAGAAUUCUCUCUCCUUGGAAAAAAAUACCAGACAUCCCAAAGAAACAGCCAUGCAGAGCUGAAAAGUUUUGAGUUGUGCUGCUGCUCAGUUCUGGUACUGCCCUCAGGACUCCCAAAUUCCCAGGAAAUGGCCACACAAGCGAUGAUGACAACAGCAGCAAAUACGAGGCUUCUCGCCGCCUGCUCUAUUUGAAAGCAAACACGCUCUAUUUUUCGUCAGGCAACCCCAGACAGAAGUGGCAACUAAAGCUUUAAACCCUUUGGAAAUUCCUUUCUGAUUUAAGAGAGCCAGGGGGCUUUCGUCCUCUCCCUGCCGUCGGUUGUGAGGAAGGGCAACAAAAGAGAGGAGCCAGACUUUGCCAGGUGUCAGGAAGAUGAGUCUUUCUCGAAGAGUUACCAGCAUUGCCACUCUCCAUAGGCCCUUUUACCAUCUUUGAAGGAGACCUUCUUGGUGCCUGAAAACAUCUCGGGCUGCACCCAAGGGAUGCUCUGCACAGACUACCUGGAAUGGGCACUGCUCUGCGUGCCUUCAGGAUGUGCAGGUUCCUGCACUGGGCUGAUUGAAGAUAUGCUAUCAGGUCUGGCAAGCUGUCCUGGUUUUGGCCAGGACAGGGUUCAUUUUUUGCAAUAACUGUGAGGGGGCACAGCUAGGGCCCAGAUGUUAUGCUAUGUCACCUCACAUCA